UACGGGGGGGGCAAGCGUUGUUCGGAAUUACUGGGCGUAAAGGGCUCGUAGGCGGCCAACUAAGUCAGACGUGAAAUCCCUCGGCUUAACCGGGGAACUGCGUCUGAUACUGGAUGGCUUGAAUCCGGGAGAGGGAUGCGGAAUUUCAGGUGUAGCGGUGAAAUGCGUAGAUAUCUGGAGGAACACCGGUGGCGAAGGCGGCAUCCUGGACCGGCAUUGACGCUGAGGAGCGAAAGCCAGGGGAGCAAACGGG
rnacentral:rRNA from 1 species